CAGUCGCCGCGGUAAUACGAAGGGUGCAAGCGUUACUCGGAAUUACUGGGCGUAAAGCGUGCGUAGGUGGUGGUUUAAGUCCGUUGUGAAAGCCCUGGGCUCAACCUGGGAAUUGCAGUGGAUACUGGGUCACUAGAGUGUGGUAGAGGAUAGUGGAAUUUCCGGUGUAGCAGUGAAAUGCGUAGAGAUCGGAAGGAACAUCUGUGGCGAAGGCGACUAUCUGGGCCAACACUGACACUGAGGCACGAAAGCGUGGGGAGCAAACAGGAUUAGAUACCCCCGUGUCCCUGUCUCUUAUACA
rnacentral:rRNA from 1 species